AGUCAUUCGGGGUAACAGCACGCGGUGGGUAAAAGUACGCGGUGGUCGGAUCUCCGACAGGGGUGGGGGAGCCGAGGUCUGUGUUUGUAAAAUAGAGUGGCGCUACUGUCGCCGUUUAGGAGCCACGCGCCGCGCCGACGCAAUCUAAGUACUGGUCGCGACACGUCGCCGAAUACUUGUAGCACGCUUAUUUCGUUUAAUUUUUAUGCCACGGAAAAGUGUGCUGUAGUUAAAUGGAUAGCUCUGUGCCAAAUACCUACACCAAAAUGCCGAGAAAUUACAUAAGGAAGGCCCCUCAGCGGACCCUCAUCUCAUCUCAGAUGACCAAAUAAUGAAGGCCAAUUAUUUUGAUCUCAAAGUGUGACUAUUGCCAAUAUAAAUAAUUUAAGACAAGAUUCACAUUAUAAUAGAUACAGGGUGGAAUUUUGUAAUGCCACCUGGAGGGAAAGUACUCUUAGUAAUGUAGAGGAAUCGAACCAACUAAAAUUUGUUAAAAAUUACACCCUGUAUUUUUAUUGCAUCGAUCGUUAGGGUUAAGUUUAUGGAUGAAAUCUCUCUAACAAGCUUGCUUAAAUUAAAUGAAAGGAAAACCAUGAAAUCUUAAAUUAUUUUAAUUAUUUACAAAAAAUUGUAUGGUAUGAUAGUGAAUUUUCGUAAAAUUUUCAAAAUUCUUUGAAUGGAGUUGUCUUUGUUUUCAAAAAUUAAGGAAAGUUUUAUUUGAGUAAAAUUUUCUAUCUACAAUAUUAAGAGUACUUUCCCUCCAGGUGGCAUUAUAAAAUUCCACCCUGUUUAAUACAAAGAGUUCUUAUUUUUUUUAAUGUUAAAGUUCUUAAAAUGUUAUUUACAAGAUUAAAUAAAUAUUGAUUAUUGCCAAUCUUAA